UAUUUGUCUGAUGGAGCUGUCUUUGUCACUGUGCUUUUUUCUCAAGUCCUGUGUUCUAAACAUAUUAAUUUUCUUAAAUUUAUUAACUGUCCAGCUACUCAAUGAUUAUGUCAUUUCUGUACUGUACUUCUGUAGGUGAGGCCAAAGUUUUCGUUUUCAUUUUCAACACCUGACACUCUGGGGAGAAAGGGGUCCUGAAGCCUCAGGGUUCACAGCUGCAGUCUUGAAAUAGUCACUCCUGACCUCUGCUGCCCAGAGAUGAGCCUACCUCCCACUUCUGCCUCCUUGAUCAGGGAGUUGGAAAACUCAAUAAAACAGUCCUUCACUCUACUGACACAGCACAGGAGUCUGACUUUGCAAUGCAACAGGAAAUAAAUGUCGCAGCAUUGUUUAGUCUCUAGGUCUCACAUUGCAGAGGGAGUACAGACUGGUGCUAUCACUGUGGAAAUCAGCAUGGAGAUUCCUCAAAAACCUAGAAUUGGAUGUCCCACUCAAUCCAGCUAUUCCUCUCCUGGCCAUUUUCCCAGAAAAAAUUGAAGAGGUCAUGUCACAGAGAUACCUUUGCACCCAUUUUCAUAGCAGAACAAUUUGCGAUAAUUAAAUCUUUGAAACAAAAAAAAAAUGUCCAUCAACUGCAGAGUGGAUGAAAAAAUGUGUCAUUUUUAUAUAAUGGAAUAUUACUCAAAUAUAAAAGCAUGACCUUUAGACCUUUGUAGGUAAAUUCAGGCAAGUUGAGAAUAUCCUCAUUAGUGAAAUCAACAAGACUCACAUUAGGAAAUAUCAAUUUAUCUCUUUAGUGUAAAAUAUAAUAAAAAUUGACAGAAUAGUGGGAUUCAAAAAGUAUAAUAGCUAUUAUAAAGGUGAAAAGGGAAGGAAAGGAUGUGACGGUAUGUAUAAUGUGUAAGAUACCUCCCCAUAUUACCCAAUUUCUAGUAGAUAAUUGGACAGAAGAAAUUUCUCUGCCAAUGUUUGUUUCUAGCCACAUUUUAUGCUUUGAUUUUAUAACAUUAACAACUACUUUUAAGGUGGCAAUAUGUAAUGUAUCAACUAGAGAUUCCAUGAUGUUAACUUUGAAUUGUGUAUCCUACUUUUUAAUGUUUUUCAACUUUGUUUUUAAUCCUCUUUAUUUCCUGUUUCUUUAUUGUCUGUCUUUAUUGUUGCUGAGUUAAUUUCAUUUGUCAUAAAUGUUUGAGUUAGACAAACACAUGCCUCUCUUGUAGAAAUCCUUUUUCACUUAUAUCCAUGUUAUAUUAAAAUUUAUACUCUUCUGUGCCAUUAAGCUUUGCAAUAAAUUUCAACCAGUGUAAUACAUCUAUGAUAAUACGGUUUUUAUGUCAAAUCUAAAUCUAAAUGGAGAAAAAUGGUCUUGAAAAGAAUCAAAUAUUGCAUGCAUUUCUAGUGACUGCAAAGAUGAAAUAAAUGCACUAUUACUUUUAGCCGGCAAAUUCUAUAAAAAAUAAGGGAGAAUACAAAAACAAAAAGCAGUAUAAUUAUUAAAAUUGCUAACAAUAUUCAGACAAAGAAUAAAAACCAAAUGUGAAGAAAACUUCUUAGCAGUAAAUUUUCUGAAAUUUCUUCUUCAUUUUGACAUGUUUGUCUCUCAUUUCUGACCUGAGGAGCACCACACUGAGUAUCCUGUGCAAUGAGUGUAGAUGAUAAAAUGCUUCCAGAAGAUCCCUGCUAUUUCCUCCCAGAACACUACUGAAGAUGGACAGUGUGAACUAGGUAGAAGUGAAUAUGUCCUGACUUUAAUUGUUCUCCUCCUCCUUUGUUUGUUCUCUGCUGUGUAUCCAAUGCCAUUUUAUUACACCUCUCAAAAACACUUGCGAAUGCACUAUGAGGCUGAGAAUGAUGGGAUAGGUGGGGUAAAUGAAAGGAGAAAUAGGAGACAAUGUGUAAUAAGUGACUGGGAAUAAAGAAAUGCAUAAACUAAUAUUCUACAUAAUAAUACAUACACAGAUAUUUGAUAAAGUCUUUCUUUGAUUUUUGUUGUUUGUUUCAAGGAUCGAAUUUAGGAUCUCACACUCACCAGGUAUAUGAUUUGCCACUGAGCUAAAUCCCCGGCCCUUCACAAAAUAAUUUCAAACUUAUUCAGUUCACCCAUAAAAUUGAAUAACUUAUCUCAUCUGAGUGGAUUUUACUCAUGGAAUUCAGAGCUGACUUGGUGUUGGAAAACUGAUCGAUAUAUGUAAGUGACAAAAGGGCACAAAAUGGCAGUGAAUAGGUGACCUGCAAGUGAUAUAGUGUAGGUGGAGGUGUGGAUGCUCUCAGCUGAAUGCAGCUCUUUAACUGUUCAUUCUCCAGUUACCUCUGUCCACGUGUCUGUGUGCAUUAAGAGGCAGAUGAUUUGGAUUCCAGGAGAUCACCAAACAAUGCCUAGACGAUGUCAUUACUUUUAUGCAAAUAAACACUAUAACCUUAAAAAGCUAUGGAUUAGAUUAUUUCCCUAGAAAUAUAAUGUUUGCUUUCUGUAUGUACAGUGGCAUUUCUUUUCCUCUUUCAGCUCCAAACAAAAUCAUGAUUCCUAAUAUUCAGUAAUAAAUACCUCUUCCUUUUAUUAUAUACAUAGAAUUUACUUAGAUCUGUGAUGCUUAGGAAGAGAAAGGGAGAAACCUCUGCUGCAACAGAGCUUCUUUGAACCUUCUACAAGGAUCUCUCAGUACAUUCAAAGCCUGGAUACAUCUGAGCAAAAUUUCACCAUUUCAAGGCAAUGCAAAGAAGGUACGGUGAAGCCAGCCUCACACUCUGCUCCUUUGGGGGUUUAUGUCAUGUCUUGUAUCACUGGGUGUGUGUAUCACUGGCAUCAUACUGCUGAAAGUAAUAAAUUGCAACAUCGUCAGGCUCCAGGCUGCUGAUGGUGACAGUAAAAUCUGUUCCACGCCAUCUGCCACUGAAUCUUGAGGGGAUGCCAGACACCAAAUGUGCUGCAUAGAAUGUUAGAUGAUGAGGAGCUUUCCCUGGUUUCUAUUGAUGCCAUGUUACCCAUUUUCUUAUAAUCUGAUGUUUCUGGCAAUUGACUGUGACAGAUUCCUACCAAUGCAGGUAUGGAGGAGGGAGACUGGGUCAUCUGGAUGUCAAAUCAGGUACCUAUCAUUGGAAACAAAAAAAUCAAACUUUCAGAUACUUGAACAUGAUGAAAAAGAACAUUUCUGAAGAAUCAUUUCACGCUGAUGAGGUUAGGCUGUGGAAAUUUCCACUGUUCUACUUCCAUACCUGGGAUCUAAAGCAGCAGGUGCCCCAGAAGUUGACUGUGUUUCCUCAUGACUGCGCUGUGUCCUGAAUGGUAGAGAAUCCUACAGGGUGUGAUUGGUAUAUUAAGAAGUCUUCAGGGCAGGGGCUGUGCUGUGGUCACAUAUAAAUAGCAGGGCUGGGCAGAGCUUCAGGACAGGCUCCUGUCAUUAUCUCAGCACAGGCCUAGUGUCCAUAGGACCAGUGAUGCCAGAACAGUUAAAGAGUAUAGAUUUCUCUAAGAACAGCAGAUUUCUCCCUUUAGGAUAUUUUGUUAUUAAGACUGAGAAAUUAUUGAGAUCCUAAAAUGAAUCUGAAUUUACAUUUGUAUUACAUUUUGCAGUUAGGGUUCUGUAGAGGAAUACUGGUAUUCAGAAAAAAAAUGCAUGUAACACUAAGUCUAACAGUAUAGGUUAUCAGGUCUUUAACUUCAUCUCUAAUUUUACAGACAUAUGCAGAAGCAGCAAAAGGAGGAAACCCGUGCUGGGAUGAAAAAAGCUUGAAUGCUGGUCUGUUCCAAAUAGUCUUGGUGUCAUUUGUGUCUAUGGUGGGUUACCUGCCUUCUGUCUUAUAGAUAAAUGCUACAUAUUUUUUUUUCAGUGUUUUGUUUCCAGCAUUGUUUGAAAAUUCCUGAAGCGAAGUAACACUUUCCCUAUUCAGAAGAUAAAGGGACCCAAUCAGUCAUAAGGAAAAAAAUAUAAAGUGCUUAUAGUGAGGAACACAGAAGGAAUAGAUCAGGACUCAAAGGAGUAGUCUCUAGAGAUCUGAGGGACAAAACAAAAAUGAGUAAUCUGAGCGUCAUUGGCUCAAAAAAACUGAUAGAAAAUGCAAUAGGCACCACAAAUGAGAGAAAUUUGUCACAUUUUGGAUCCUUUACACAUUUUCACAUUUGUUAUGCUGGAGGUUAUUCCACUGUGAUACAAUACAAAAUGCAAUAAAAUAUUUUUGGCAUUCUCAA